rnacentral:rRNA from 1 species
AUUCCAGCUCCAAGAGCAUAUAUUAAAGUUGUUGCAGUUAAAAAGCUCGUAGUUGGAUUUCUGGUACAAUGCGCCUGGCCCGCCACAGUUUAUGUGUGUGAGUGCCGGUGCGCGUUUGCCAUCUUUCUAGAAAACGUUUCUACCCUUUACUGGGCCGGAUUCGCGAUCUAGAUCGUUUACUUUGAAAAAAUUAGAGUGUUUAAAGCAGGCUUAUGCUAUGAAUACAUUAGCAUGGAAUAAUAAUCUAGGACUUCGGUUCUAUUUUGUUGGUUUCUAGACCUGAAGUAAUGAUUGAUAGGGACAGUUGGGGGUGCUAGUAUUGGCCGGCCAGAGGUGAAAUUCUUGGAUUCGGUCAAGACUAACUUAUGCGAAAGCAUUCACCAAGGAUGUCUUCAUUA